UACAGAGGGUGCAAGCGUUAAUCGGAAUUACUGGGCGUAAAGCGUGCGUAGACGGUUAUUUAAGUCAGGUGUGAAAGCCCCGGGCUCAACCUGGGAAUUGCAUUUGAGACUGAAUAGCUAGGGUGCGGAAGAGGGAAGCGGAAUUUCCGGUGUAGCGGUGAAAUGCGUAGAUAUCUGGAGGAACACCGGUGGCGAAGGCGGCGUUCUGGACUGCAACUGACACUGAGGAACGAAAGCCAGGGGAGCAAACGGG
rnacentral:rRNA from 1 species